rnacentral:lncRNA from 1 species
UAACUUCUCAGACUUUCCAUGAGGAUUUUCACAAUAGUAUAAAAGGCACAGAUUAAUUGUGGCCAGAUGGGACAUUUGGUUGGUAGAGAACGAUCUCUGUCAGGCAACUAUCCUCCAAACAUCUGUUUGAAUAUUUUCCAAUAAUAAUAUUGUUUCUAACUGAUUGAAUCACUAAAUUCAAUACUGAAUGACUUACUUUACUUGCCUCAACAGCAUGAUACCUUGGACUCAGAUCAACUUCCAGGAGAAGAUGGAAUAGUUUUCUUCUCUGAACCUCAAAGGCCCAAUUCCAGAGCUGAAUUAAAUGUUCUUUACCAGUAAUAUAAACCUAUCAACCAUCUCUAAGAUGUGGACCAAUGACUACCACCAGUAGCUGCUGCUAUCAAUACAUCAGAAAGCAAAAGACCCUGUUGGAAAUUCAUGAUCCAAUAGGUGAGAACAGAGA